rnacentral:rRNA from 1 species
AGCAAAGGUCUAGCAUCCAUUAAGCCUUUUUUUCAACUUUGACCUCGGAUCAGGU